GAAAAGUAAGAUCGAGCUUUCGGAUUAGUACUUGCCAUCAGAGCUGAAAAUCAAUAAAAAAUUUAGCAAAGUUAAAAAACUCAUCCUAAAAAGCAAGAAAAUGCGGAACAACCACGUACCAGUAAGAUCUUCUCGAGGAUGUGAUGAAGUAUACAACUGUAGCAAAGCACGAGUGGGAACUUGAUACGAGAAACGACUAAAAACUUCAAUAACAUGACGAUCGGCCACACCCAUCGAAUGAAAGGAUAUUGAGUUAAACUUCACAGGAUCUUUCGUCCAAUACAGAGGAAAUUUUGGAGAAUUUCCAUUAAAGAAGUAUUCUCUUCCUAUUGGCUCUAUUAGAAUUUUGAAAAAACUUCCUUUAAAAUCC
rnacentral:lncRNA from 1 species